GAUGAACGCUAGCGGCAGGCUUAACACAUGCAAGUCGAGGGGUAGAGGAAGCUUGCUUCCUUGAGACCGGCGCACGGGUGCGUAACGCGUAUACAAUCUACCUUUUACAGAGGGAUAGCCCAGAGAAAUUUGGAUUAAUACCUCAUAGUAUUUUCGAAUCGCAUGGUUUGAUUAUUAAAGUUCCAACGGUAAAAGAUGAGUAUGCGUCCCAUUAGCUAGAUGGUAAGGUAACGGCUUACCAUGGCAAUGAUGGGUAGGGGUCCUGAGAGGGAGAUCCCCACACUGGUACUGAGACACGGACCAGACUCCUACGGGAGGCAGCAGUGAGGAAUAUUGGACAAUGGGCGCAAGACCUGAUCCAGCCAUGCCGCGUGCAGGAAGACGGUCCUAU
rnacentral:rRNA from 1 species